CUUCUGUGGGUCUGUCAAGCUAGUUGGUCUGGCGGUUGGCGAACAGCUGGACUGUGAAUGGGCAGGAGAUGGCAGGCGCAAGUUACGGAUCAGGAAGGAAGAUAGAAUUGAAGUAAUUGGUGGGAGGGAAGAUGACUGGAAUUUGGGAGGUCAAAAAAAUAGGAGAAAACGCAAAAAAGAGAGACAGCAAAGUGAUAGAAACAACUCAGAGGGAACGGAUAGUGAGGGAGGUGGAACACCAAUAGUGAGGCAGAGUGAGAAGUAUUAAAAUAUCAUCAAACUUUCUCAGGACGGUGUGUCGUUUGGUGAGUGGAACCCAAUUAUGUUAACGAAGGCGAGUUUGUGGGUGAAGUAAAGAAUGUGUGUUGCUGAAUGGUUAAUUGUUGAUCUUUUGUAGGAAUAGUGUGCAACAAGGAAAAGCCAUAAGACUAAACAAGAUUGAUGGAAAAAAAGUGCAG